UUAACAAUCAAUUCUCCACAAUAUUCGCUAGUUUUUACGACUGCCUAUUGUUGGAAUUCUUACAAAUUAAGUUUAAAACUAAGAGGUCAACCGAAAAUCCCCACGGACAAGAGAGAAACUCCUCGAGGGACAUUUGAAAAACAUGUGUAUGGGACUUUGGAUACCCUAUAUUAUUAAAUACACCUCAUAAAUGGAAUUAAGUGGGCGGAUGAAAUUCAUGAAUUAUACCAUUAUGUACUGAUUACCGUAAAUAUACCAAUAACUCAACUUCGUUGUCAAAAU
rnacentral:lncRNA from 1 species